rnacentral:lncRNA from 1 species
GGAGAUGAGUGAGAGCUCCUCAGGGGGUAGCACAGUUGGAACAAGCUGCAUGUUCCAAUUACGACUGAGGUUCGAGACUUGCAUGCAGCCGAUUAAAUGCAAGUGCAAAAUGACUCUAUGGAAGAUCGAUGAUUGCGGCCUUGAUGUGGGUUGUAGAAACAGUUUUUAAUCCUUCUGACUCCUGAGGGGUGCUGGGGGUGACAUACUCACCCGACUCGGAGUCUCCCCUAGGGCGUGGUGGGGAGGAGAUUGCGCUUAUUGCUAUCCAAAUCAAACAUUCACUCAGCGGAUGGGGGUCCUUAUGGUCAUGCUCAGAGGAGGUUGCUCCAUCAGUCGCCCCCCCCCCCCAUCCCACUCC